rnacentral:rRNA from 1 species
UUGGAGGGCAAGUCUGGUGCCAGCAGCCGCGGUAAUUCCAUCGCUCAUAGCGUAUAUUAAGUUGUUGCAGUUAAAAAGCUCGUAGUUGAAUUUCGGGAUUAAUUUAUUGGUCGUGCUUUUGUACGUACUGGUUUUAUUGAUUCCUACCUUCUGACGAACCAUGAUGUCAUUAAUUUGGUGUCUUGGGGAAUCAGGACUGUUACUUUGAAAAAAUUAGAGUGUUUAAAGCAGG